GAUGAACGCUAGCGAUAGGCUUAACACAUGCAAGUCGAGGGGCAGCAUGGUAUUAGCUUGCUAAGACUGAUGGCGACCGGCGCACGGGUGCGUAACGCGUAUGCAACUUGCCUCACAGAGGGGGAUAACCCGUCGAAAGACGGACUAAUACCGCGUACACUUGGGAUAGGGCAUCCUGACCCAAGGAAAUGAAAUUCGCUGUGAGAUAGGCAUGCGUCCCAUUAGCUAGUUGGUGAGGUAACGGCUCACCAAGGCGACGAUGGGUAGGGGAACUGAGAGGUUGAACCCCCACACUGGUACUGAGACACGGACCAGACUCCUACGGGAGGCAGCAGUGAGGAAUAUUGGUCAAUGGGCGAGAGCCUGAACCAGCCAAGUCGCGUGAAGGAUGACUGUCUUAUGGAUGGUAAACUUCUUUUAUACGGGAAUAACAAGAGCCACGUGUGGCUCCCUGCAUGUACCGUAUGAAUAAGCAUCGGCUAACUCCGUG
rnacentral:rRNA from 1 species